GUUUUGUGUCUAUCCUUUAGUAGAAUAAGGAUGUUCCCUCUUGUUCCAUUGUCAGCCUAACCAGAAUCUUUUUAAAGCCAUCAUCAGGGAUGUACUCUCUACAAUGAGACCAUCUCUUCACUAAAUGGUAUUGGGAAAACUGGACAGCCACGUGCAAAAGAAUGUAACUUUCUACCACUGUCUUACACCAUGCACAAAAAAUUAACUCAGAAUGGAUUAAAGACUCCAAACUAAAAAUCCUAGAAGAAAACAAAGGUGGUAAUAAGCUCCUCGACAUACAUCUUGGUGAUGAUUGCUUAAAUCUGACAUCAAAAGCAAAAGCAACAAAAUCAAAAAUAUAGGUUCAUUUACUGUUGGGAUGCUCAAGAUCGAUCUACCAGACAGCCUGGAAUUCUCCUGUUUAGACAUCCACCUAAGCCUCUGACGUCACCUUUCGCAGUCGACGGAGGAUGGACUGCGUUUGUGAAAGAGCUGUUCUUCAGUACUGAAAAGAGACUGAGGAAUCCAUUGUGAAUGGACUUGGGCAGCUUUGUUUGUUCAGUUUAUAAACAGUUUGAAAGUUCUGAAACUUGCCCAGAACGCUUUGGCUUAGAGACGGCUGUGUAAAAUUGCAUAAAAACAAGUUUAGUUUCACAUUGUCCCUAACGGUGGCCAUGUGACAAAUAUUUUCCUUUUGAAGGUUUAAAAUAUUCGUUUGGCUGUUUAAUCCAGAUAUGCCAUCAAAUAUCCCCAUUUCCCCGCAACAGUUCAAAAAUUAUUCAUACUACAAAAAGUAUUUUCAAAAGAGUAUAAUUUUUAUCAAAGAACAAAACAUUUAAAAACAAGAACUUGUUAUUAUUUACAUUUGCAAGUGCAUUCUUGGUUUUUUUUAGGCUCUAUUUUAUACAGCAGUUUUAGAUUUACAGAAAAAAGUUGAGAAGGUAGUAUAGAGAGGUCCCACAGAGCCCAUACCCAGUCUCGCAUACAUCAACAUCAUCUGUUAGGUAAAUGUGCCACAGUUAAUGAACCAAUAUUAAUUUAUUAUUUCUAACUAAAGCCCAUAGUUUAUUCAGAUUUCUUUAGGUUUUACCUAAUAUCCAUUUAUGUUCCAGGACCCCAUCAAAGAUAGCACGUCACAUUCAGUUUCAAGUAUCCUUAGGUUGUUACCUUUGGCUGUGAUAGUUUGUUAGACUUCCCUUGUUCUUCAUGACCAUAAGAGUUUUGAGGAUUGUUGGUCAAAAAUUUUGUAGACUGCUUCUCAAUUAGAACUUUUCUGGAGUCUCCAUUAUGGCUUAGCAGAAACAAAUGUGACUAGUAUCCAUGAGGAUAGAGGUUCGAUUCCUGGCCUCUCUCAGUGGGUUAAGGAUGCAGCGUUGCCAUGAGCUGCAGUGUAGGUCACAGAUGCGGCUCAGAUCUGACGUUGCUGGGCUGUGGUGUGGGCCAGCAGCCCCAGCUCCAAUUCAACCCCUAGCCUUGGAAUCUCCAUAUGCCUCAGGUAUGGCCCUAAAAAGACCAACUCCCACCCCCCUGAAAAAAAAACCCAGAACUUUUCUGGUGUUUCAUUAUUAGACAGGUAUAUGGAUUUGGGGCAGAAAAAUUACAAAGGUAAUUUAUUUUCACCACAUCAUAGCAAGGGUAUACACAGUAUCAAUAAAUUUAUCAAAUGUUAAUAUUCACUUUAAUCACCUGGCUGAGAUAGUGCUGGUUAAGUUUCUCCACAGUCAGGUUAGUCUUUUUUUUUGCCCUAUUUCUAAAUUGAAAUCUUUGAAAGGAAAUCGCUAUACACAGCCUACUUUUAAGGAGUGGGGAUUUAGUUCUUGAAGGCAGAGUACUCACAUAAUUUAUUUGGAUUUUUUUCUGCAAGGAAGAUCUGUCUCUUCUCUACAAUUUAUUUAUUUAUUCAAUAACUUAUUUACAUCAAUAUGAACCCAUGGAUGUUUAUUUCCUACUUUGGGUUUUAGUCUAAUACUAAUUUAUUUUGUUGUUCAAAUUCUCCUUGGCUUUGGCCAUUGGGAGCUCUUCCAGUGGACUCCAAUGUUCCUUUACUAUGCACCUAUCAAUGUAGAGGUAGGUUUUGCUGUCGCUAUUUUAGAAUUGUCUUUCCCCCUGGUAAUUAUAAGAUGGUCCCAACUUAUCCCAUGUAUCUCCUAUCCCAGUUCUAGAAUCAGCUAUUUCUCCAAAGAAUCCUUGAACCUUUUAGACUGAGUGUGCUUGUUGUUCCUUGAGUGACGCUUCUAAGUCUUCUUAGCUGAUAGAGAAAAGAAAGUUAUGUGUGUAUGAUGCUUCUAAGUCUUCUUAGCUGAUAGAGAAAAGAAAGUUAUGUGUGUAUUGCUAUAUGUAACAAUCUCUAUGCAUAUUGAGCUAACCAUGAGUUUAUAUAAGUCUCCAACUUCACUAUAU
rnacentral:lncRNA from 1 species